rnacentral:lncRNA from 1 species
CCAACCACUGCAGGGUCGCGCCGGCCUAUCAGAGCGUCCUUGUCAAACUGAACGAGGAAAGAAGCCUCAGCAGCGCCAACUAAGCAACCGGCUACAGACCGCGUUCCGGUGCGUGUGUGACGACACCGCCGUGUGCUCCUCCGCUGGGAGAUAUAGUGCCCUCGCCCUUGCCUCGCCCCGCCCGCGAGCGCUCCAAAGGCUUGGGCGUGCGGCUUGCUCUUCCUCUCCGCUUGACGGGCGGUGGUUCCCCCGAGACAGAAACUUGACUGAAAAAUAAUACCAAAUACCCGUGCUGCGGCCCGUGGCCCUCCAUAGGGCCACCUGAACUAGCCUCGCCUGUCCCCUUGCUCUUUGCCGUUCGUCCUUCGCGUUUUGUGAAAACAGUUGGCGCCGCAGAAAUGAGAUAAACGCCCCUGAGCUCGAAACCCGCACUCGAACUGCCACCGAGCCGACCCUUCCUGUUUUGGAACUCAGGGCCCGGCCACCCGAGAAGCACCCUCAUGGGCACUUUGUUUCUACAAGGGCCCGUUUCCAUUUCCUUCCUAAGGUUUCCUUAUCCCCUGCGGCAGGAGGGGCCCGCUGGGCUCGGGUUUUCAGCUGCGUUGGAGCUGCAGAGGCUGCGGAGUGAACGCGGCCAGGAGCCCGCCUGGGAGCGCGCAGCGCUCUAGGAGCCGAGAGCCGCUGCUUGGCCCUCGCUGGCCGGGUAAACCGAGGGGAAGCUCCUGGCCUCCUUUCCCUUAAGCCCCUUAUUGCUUCUGUGGGGAAGGCCCUCCUAGGUAGAGGCGAAGGACCGGGGAGAUAACCUCUCCCAUGGGCCACAUCCGCUGCCAUGGUCUGUGUCGUGCCAGAAGGUACCUCUCAGCCCUCAGUGCCGUGAAAAAUCUGACACUCAAGAAGGUCGAUUGACACGCCUAACGUCGCACAGCAAUUUAGUAGCACAGCACAGAAUAGAAGCUACCCAGGCUGGCUGUCUCCCAAGCCUGUGUUUCUCUACCACACACAGUAACACUGCGUCUUCCAGAGCUGAAGCUGUAGUCGUGAGAUGGCUCAAGCAUUUGGGGGAACUGGAAGGCAGACCUGGGAAUGAAGAGAAUUGUUUUCUUUGAGCAGAAUUUUCAGUCAGUGGCCUACAGAAAAAGUAGAGAAGAAACAUUACUUGGUUAUUGUCACUGUUCCAAGAGGCUAGCUAAGAAAAUUAAAUCGUGUGGAUUUCUUAAAACUGCUGUUUCGUGUAACCUCCAAACAUCUAUCUGUGACUUUGGCACAAGGUGGCUUGGAUGUCUGAUCUUUGUGAUUGAACUAUAUUCACAUCCUGUUUCUAAGAUUGUGUUACUAAUGGUUUUUCCUGAGGUUUUACAACCAGUAGUGGUGUCUGCGCUGUAGUCAAGUGAAGGUUCUUUGAUCUAAGGCUAUACUUGUCAGUUGCUGUUUAUUGCUUCUUAAACUUUUACUCAAAGUCUUCUUCAAAAAGGAGAAAAGCUGUGGUUUUCUUUCUGUAGGCGGUUAGUAGUCAUUCCCAAAGAUGUUUGCCAAGUGAGCAAAUAUAUUGGAACUUCCAAAUGAGCAUUUCACUGUAAAAAUACCUGCCCCAAAAACAAUACGACAUGUUUCUUUUGCAAUUUAUAUGGUAUAGGAAACAUGUUCUGUGACUUCUUUGUAGCAAGCCAGAUCCUGAUGUGAAAAAAGAGAUCUAACUGUGCCAAUAACAAAUUGAGAAUUCUUGAGUAAGUUCCUUUCCUGUGUUCUUGGGACCUCAGUUUUCUUUUUGUUUGUUUGUUUGAGACGGAGAUUCGCUCUGUCGCCAGGCUGGAGUGCAGUGGCGCGAUCUCGGCUCACUCCACCUCCACCUCCCAGGUUCAAGCGAUUCUCC